rnacentral:rRNA from 1 species
GGAUCCAGACUUUGAUUAUGGCUCAGGAUGAACGCUAGCUACAGGCCUAACACAUGCAAGUCGAGGGGAAACGGCAGCUUAGCUUGCUAAGCUGGACGUCGACCGGCGCACGGGUGAGUAACGCGUAUCCAACCUGCCCCACGGUGAGGGAUAACCCGCGGAAACGCGGCCUAAUACCUCAUGGUCUCCGAGUUUGCCAUCAACCUUGGAGUAAAGAUUCAUUGCCGUGGGAUGGGGAUGCGUCUGAUUAGCUUGUUGGCGGGGCAACGGCCCACCAAGGCAACGAUCAGUAGGGGUUCUGAGAGGAGAGCCCCCCACAUUGGAACUGAGACACGGUCCAAACUCCUACGGGAGGCAGCAGUGAGGAAUAUUGGUCAAUGGGCGAGAGCCUGAACCAGCCAAGUAGCGUGCAGGACGACGGCCCUAUGGGUUGUAAACUGCUUUUAUGCGGGGAUAAAGCGGGCGACGUGUCGCCCUUUGCAGGUACCGCAUGAAUAAGGACCGGCUAAUUCCGUGCCAGCAGCCGCGGUAAUACGGAAGGUCCGGGCGUUAUCCGAUUUAUUGGGUUUAAAGGGAGCGCAGGCCGGGUAUUAAGCGUGUUGUGAAAUGUAGGCGCCCAACGUCUGCACCGCAGCGCGAACUGGUGCCCUUGAGUACGCACGACGUUGGCGGAAUUCGCCGUGUAGCGGUGAAAUGCUUAGAUAUGGCGAAGAACUCCGAUUGCGAAGGCAGCUGACGGGAGCGCUACUGACGCUCAUGCUCGAAAGCGCGGGUAUCGAACAGGAUUAGAUACCCUGGUAGUCCGCGCGGUAAACGAUGGAUGCCCGCUAUUUGCGCAUUAGCGCAAGUGGCCAAGUGAAAACGUUAAGCAUCCCACCUGGGGAGUACGCCGGAAAGGGUGCAACUCAAAGGAAUUGACGG